rnacentral:rRNA from 1 species
AUGGGACUCGACGCCGGUGGAGCUCCACAUGUCGGACGAGGAUGGGGGCACCGUGGCCAGUCCCGUGACACCAUGCCUCUCCCACCUCUUUCGGUGGCUUUCUCUACUGCCCCUGGAGCUCAACGUGGAGGGACUCGCCAUGCAUUGCGCAUCGUUCUGGACGCGGCUGCCCACUACCCUGCAAGUCGACUGUUCCAACGCCCACCAAGUGUUCGACGUAAUGUUUGCACGGCUGUAGGUAAAAGAAAAUCACUUCUAUCCAUAAACCGUUUCAAAGGUUAUAUGCGUGUUCCAUCCCAAGCACAAUUAUAUUUCUUUACAUGCACCUUUUGUGAUAUGUCUGCUUAUGCAAUGAGGCUCAGCCUGCUACUGAUUAUUGCAGUUUGGAAAUAUGUUGAAAGAGAACUUUACUGUCAAGAAGCCCUCCAUAGGAAAUAG